rnacentral:tRNA from 1 species
AAAGAAAUAUUCCUAAAAGAAGCUUCUAACUUCUUAAAAAGCAACUAUGUUUAUAUU